rnacentral:snRNA from 1 species
GUGCUCGCUUCGGCAGCACAGAUACUAAAAUUGGAAUGAUACAGAGAAGAUUAGCAUGGCCCCUGCUCAAGGAUGACACUCAAACUCGUGAAGCGUUCCAUAUUUUU